UGGAUUGGAUAGACAAAUCUUUACCUGCCUU
rnacentral:piRNA from 1 species